ACAAUUUAAUUAUGUGGAAGGUGCUCAGAUAGCAUGCUGAUGAGUGGUGGUAUAAAACCCUAAGAUACUGCAUUGCCUAUAGCUACAGUUACCUAACAGCUGCCAUUAUAAAGACCCUAUUUUCAGUUGCUUAUCACCUUGCCAAGCUUAAACUGUUUGUACUGUAAUUCUGCAUCCCAGGUAUCUGCCUCAGGCAGGAUUUAUUUUUUCUGUUUUGUUUUGAAAGGUUCAGAAAAAUAGUUUAGCUGAUUCUGAGAACAAAAUUAGGGAAAAUGUGUUGUUUUUCCCAUGUUAAUUGUUCUUUUAAACAACUGUUCUGUUGAGAAAUUCUAGUGCCAUCCUGCCUACUUGAAAUUUGGCAGGGUGUUCACUCUGGUAUUAGGGAAGUGCCUUUUGCUCUCUCCAUGAACAUUUGUCCAAAUUUGGCCAAGUCAUAAAAUGUCUCAUGCACAGCAGAGACAGAGUUUGGCAGCUAAAUCUUCUGAAGAUUUCAUCUGUAGCAGGUAGCAAGGUGAUGGAAGAGGAGCAGCCUGCCUGAAAUGCAGGGGGAACAAGAAUGAGUUCCAUGAAACAAUGUAACCUUCAGCAUUUUGAAGCAGCUACAGCAUGUAUUGCAUAAAACUUCAAUACAGUUGUAUACUAAAUAUACAAACAUGGAAAUCCAGAACAGUCUGAACAGCUCCAGAACAUAAACUGUAAUGCUUUAAAGCUUCCUCUUUUGGGUAUCAUCUUCUGAGAAAAGAACAUUUUGUCCAUUAAAAUGUAAAGGUUUACAAAUGGCACAUUUUUGGGACUUUUUUUUCAAGCCAACCCGGACAGUGGUUAGUUCUAAAUGGAAUCAAAGUGGUAUGAAACAGAGAGUAGUAUGAAAAUAUUUCUGGCUUUUUAAGAGUAUAAACUGGUAUUUAU